rnacentral:lncRNA from 1 species
GUGUCAUGCAAGAAGGAGGCGGCGGCGGCGGCCGGAGCUGGAGGGGGAGGAGGGGAGGAACCUGAUCCUCGGUAGCGAAGGGCUGGAGGCAAACACCGAGCUCCCCCUGAGCCGCCUGGGAGCAGGGAGGGUUCUGCUACCCUGAGGGGCCCUCCCCGCGGGGCAGAGGGUGGGAGGAAGUCACAGCAUCUACUUCUGAAUCUGUGCUUGCCUUGAGGAAAAACGGCAUGGCACAGGAAUGUGGACGCUUUCAACCAGAGGAUUCUGUACGACGGUGUCGGCACACAAGGAGUGUUCCACUGACUGACCUCUUUUUGUUUUCAAAUGAAGAGGAGCCAAGAAUAGGACAGCUUGGGAAGCUCAUCCUCGUCUACGGCCAAACGUUGGUUUCUCAUUUCUAGAAGAUGAAAGAUGUGAUGACUCAGGAAAAACUGGAAUCUUAGUAACUGUGGUGGGCAUUGAGCCUUGCCGUCCACAAGAGAAAGCCGUUCUCUCUGCUUACAGCUUGCUGCUCGAGAUGUGAGUCUUCAGAUGUUCCUGCCGCCAUAUCUGACAGCUGCUGCCAAGAUUCCCUGGUGGGAUGGACUCUUAUACCUCAACAACCAGAAGCCCAAGUAAACUCUUCUAUAAAUUGAA